CAGCAGAGCCUCCCAGCCGUCCAAGGGCCCCAGGUCUAGGGGGGUGGCGGAACCUCGACGAGCCGAGUCUGCAGAGGCUCCCGCGGCCCGUGAGCCAGUGUCGUCCCAACACGCUGGCAGCAACAAGCCUCGGCCUUCCAGGCCCCGCGGUUCCCUCGCCGGACGGUCGCCAGCGCGCCAUGCAGCCUCCGCCCGCCCCGCGCGCGUAGGCGCUCGCCACAGGCCAUGCUACCCCUUCUCGCCGCGCUACUGGCCGCCGCCUGCCCGCUACCGCCGGCGCGCGGCGGGGCCACGGAUGCGCCCGGCCUUUCUGGGACGCCCCCAAAUGCUUCGGCCAAUGCUUCCUUCACCGGCGAACACUCCACCCCGCGUCUGCUGGCAUCGGCGGCAUCCGCACCCCCAGAGCGCGCGGGCCCAGAGGAGGCUCCUGCGGCGCCCUGCAACAUCAGCGUGCAACGGCAGAUGCUGAGCUCCCUGCUCGUGCGCUGGGGCCGCCCGCGGGGCUUGCAGUGCGACCUGCUGCUCUUCUCUACCAACGCGCACGGCCGCGCCUUCUUUGCCGCCGCCUUCCACCGCGUCGGGCCGCCGCUGCUCAUCGAGCAUCUGGGGCUGGCGGCCGGCGGCGCGCAGCAAGACCUGCGCCUGUGCGUGGGCUGUGGCUGGGUGCGCGGCCGCCUGCGAGCUCCCGCCGGGGCUCCCACCGCUCUGCCUGCCUACCCCGCGGCCGAACCGGGGCCGCUGUGGCUGCAGGGCGAGCCUCGUCACUUCUGCUGCCUGGACUUCAGCCUGGAGGAGCUGCAGGGCGAGCCGGGCUGGCGGCUGAACCGCAAGCCCAUCGAGUCCACGCUGGUGGCCUGCUUCAUGACCCUUGUCAUCGUGGUGUGGAGCGUGGCCGCCCUCAUCUGGCCGGUGCCCAUCAUUGCCGGCUUCUUGCCCAACGGCAUGGAGCAGCGCCGGACCACCGCCGGCGCCCCCGCGGCCGCUCCUGCAGCCGUACCCGCGGGGACUACCGCCGCAGCCGCCGCCGCCGCUGCAGCAGCUGCCGCGGCCGCGGCCGUCACCUCGGGGGUGGCUCCCAAAUGACCCCCGCUGCCCCGCGUCCGCGCUCUGUACGCGCUAGCACGCGCCUUCCUCACCGGAGACGCGGCAGGUGCGCUUCGUGCUGUCCUUAGUGUCCGUCCUUUUCCCGGGAGGGGACCGCAGAGAGGCCCAAAUGAGGUGGGAAAGCGAGGUUUGUGCUGGAGUUCUGGUUCGGUAAAGCAGGGGCAAGCUCUCGGGCUGAAGGGUGGGAUCCACGCGUGGCUCGAGG
rnacentral:lncRNA from 1 species